UUCUCGUACGCCCCUGUCUCUGUGUAAUCGGCUCCCUAUAAUCGAACUUUUAAAAAUCACAAACUCCUUCUGAAAAUUACUAUGUUGGGCUCUGGCCCCUGAUAAAUUUAAACAGAAAUGUUUUGUAUUUGUUUUCUUUAAAUAGAAAUUUCCGACAACCAAAAAUCUUCCAAAUUUUUUUGAGAAAAUCUUCAAUAAUUUAUUACGCUUGAUUUUAUACUGUUGUUUGUAUGGAUCCAAGAGUUGAAAAUGAACCAGACUCUUCCUUUUCUGAUGUUCAGAAGUCAUGUUUGGAGUUCUGGGUGACAGGAAAUAAGAAAACUAUCAAAAUAUUUUCAACCAGUCUCCUGAUUCUGAUUGGAUUAACGAUGGUUUGCUGUAUAUCGAUAUUGAAUUUACCGCAGACCUAUCUAGAGAUCUAACGAGAAUAUUCUGUUCUGCAAGAUCUGUGUUAGUACAGAUAUUAAUGAUAUUCUCUCUAUAUAUAGACCUAUCUAGAGAUCUAACGAGAAUAUUCUGUUCUGCAAGAUCUGUGUUAGUACAGAUAUUAAUGAUCUUCUCUUCAGUUGUUUCACAGCUUACAUCUUCUCUAAAAAGAAAGAUUCAAUUGACAGAGAUAUUGUUUUAAUUAGCUGUGUUCUCAUCGUGUUUCUGCUGGGUAUAAACUUAUGCAAACUAUUCAGUGCUAUUGUUCUGGUUACAUACCUGCGCCUUGAAACUCAUUAUUUUCAAGCUGAAAACAGAAACAGGAAUUUAUUUAUUUUCAUUUUAUUUUUUACUGUCGACGUUAUUUCAAGUGAACUUCCAUUAAAAGGGUUACAU